CACAGAGAUAAAGGUCCUAACGAAAAGCGGAGAGAUACAGGGAGAAAGUUGAAGACUUCUGAGUGGAGGAGGAUUUUCACGUCUUGGUUUGGAUUGAUUGCAAUGGCAGCAAGUGUGAACGGUCCCCAACCUCUCACCUAAAUGCCCUAGUUUCCCCCAUGCUCAUAGCUUGAGCACAAGACUGAAUGGAACAUGAAAGGGCAAGCAGCAAACCACAUCACCUGGCGCACAGGAGAAUUAGCCUGGAUAUGGAUCCGACUGGACGCUUUGCAGGACGCAGUCAGAGGA